GAUGAACGCUGGCGGCGUGCCUAAUACAUGCAAGUCGAGCGAACAGACGAGGAGCUUGCUCCUCUGACGUUAGCGGCGGACGGGUGAGUAACACGUGGAUAACCUACCUAUAAGACUGGGAUAACUUCGGGAAACCGGAGCUAAUACCGGAUAAUAUAUUGAACCGCAUGGUUCAAUAGUGAAAGACGGUUUUGCUGUCACUUAUAGAUGGAUCCGCGCUGCAUUAGCUAGUUGGUAAGGUAACGGCUUACCAAGGCAACGAUGCGUAGCCGACCUGAGAGGGUGAUCGGCCACACUGGAACUGAGACACGGUCCAGACUCCUACGGGAGGCAGCAGUAGGGAAUCUUCCGCAAAGGGCGAAAGCCUGACGGAGCAACGCCGCGUGAGUGAUGAAGGUCUUCGGAUCGUAAAACUCUGUUAUUAGGGAAGAACAAAUGUGUAAGUAACUAUGCACGUCUUGACGGUACCUAAUCAGAAAGCCACGGCUAACUACGUG
rnacentral:rRNA from 1 species